rnacentral:rRNA from 1 species
AGGCGUAGGUGAUGGACAACAGGUUGAUAUUCCUGUACUACCGAUAACCGUUUGAGAGAAGGGAUGACACAGUAGGAUAAGCUAAGCACCCUGUUGGUUAUGUGUGCCCAAGCAUUGAGGCAGUCAAAGUAGGCAAAUCCGCUUUGAUAAUGCUGGGAUGUGAUGGGGAGCGAAAUUUAGUAGCGAAGUAGCUGAUUUCACACUGUCAAGA